rnacentral:rRNA from 1 species
UACGUAGGUGGCAAGCGUUGUCCGGAUUUACUGGGCGUAAAGGGAGUGUAGGCGGAUACUUAAGUCAGAUGUGAAAUACCCGGGCUCAACUUGGGUGCUGCAUUUGAAACUGGGUGUCUAGAGUGCAGGAGAGGAAAGUGGAAUUCCUAGUGUAGCGGUGAAAUGCGUAGAGAUUAGGAAGAACACCAGUGGCGAAGGCGACUUUCUGGACUGUAACUGACGCUGAGGCUCGAAAGCGUGGGGAGCAAACAGGAUUAGAUACCCUGGUAGUCCACGCCGUAAACGAUGGGUACUAGGUGUGGGAGGUAUCGACUCCUUCCGUGCCGCCGUAAACACAAUAAGUACCCCGCCUGGGGAGUACGGUCGCAAGAUUAAA